GACGAACGCUGGCGGCGUGCCUAAUACAUGCAAGUUGAGCGCUUAAGGUUGGUACUUGUACCGACUGGAUGAGCAGCGAACGGGUGAGUAACGCGUGGGGAAUCUGCCUUUGAGCGGGGGACAACAUUUGGAAACGAAUGCUAAUACCGCAUAAAAACUUUAAACACAAGUUUUAAGUUUGAAAGAUGCAAUUGCAUCACUCAAAGAUGAUCCCGCGUUGUAUUAGCUAGUUGGUGAGGUAAAGGCUCACCAAGGCGAUGAUACAUAGCCGACCUGAGAGGGUGAUCGGCCACAUUGGGAAUGAGACACGGCCCAAACUCCUACGGGAGGCAGCAGUAGGGAAUCUUCGGCAAUGGACGAAAGUCUGACCGAGCAACGCCGCGUGAGUGAAGAAGGUUUUCGGAUCGUAAAACUCUGUUGGUAGAGAAGAACGUUGGUGAGAGUGGAAAGCUCAUCAAGUGACGGUAACUACCCAGAAAGGGACGGCUAACUACGUG
rnacentral:rRNA from 1 species